UCCAAGGUUACUCUCCUACUAUUCAUCCCACUACUUCCAUCGAUCUCUCCUCCUUCUCAACCUUUGAUGUCACUUCAGGUAUCCAAAUACUUUCUCAAUAUCUAACAAAUGCAAAAUAAAUCACAUCAAGUUUUGUUUUUAUACAGUUUUGUUUCUACAGGAUUUGCAACGGUUAACCGAAACAGCGGUUCUAGAGCUUUGAAAGUGACUCACGGAGUACUAAACGCGGUGGCAUGGGGCUUUCUCCUCCCGGCAGGAGCAGUAACAGCUCGAUACCUUCGCCAAAUGCAAUCAAUCGGACCAACUUGGUUCUACAUUCACGCAGCCAUACAGCUAACCGGUUUCCUCCUUGGAACCAUUGGUUUCUCCAUUGGGAUCGUGCUCGGCCGAAAUUCUCCAGGAGUGACCUACGGGUUACAUAGGAGCCUCGGGAUAGCUACGUUCACUGCAGCUGCACUACAGACGCUGGCUUUACUGUUCAGACCAAAGACGACCAACAAGUUCCGGAGAUACUGGAAGUCUUACCAUCAUUUUGUCGGGUACGCGUGUGUGGUGAUGGGUGUGGUGAACGUGUUCCAAGGGUUCGAGGUUUUGAGGGAAGGAGGAUCAUACGCGAAGCUUGGUUAUUGU
rnacentral:lncRNA from 1 species